GAGAUCGCGCCACUGCACUCCAGCCUGGGUGACAGAGCAAGACUCCGUCUCAAAAAAAAUAAAAAAAAAAAAAAGGAAAGAAAAGAAAAGACCAAGAAAACCUCUGCCUGGACAAUGGAUUUCUCCAGCCAGAUUCCUGUCCUGACCUUAUACCCUAGUUUGGGUUGGCACUGCUGAUAUCUUGUCCUGCAGUAGUGGGGGAAAGAAAAUGAUCCGUCCUUCAUCUGUGAUCCCUGGUGCCCUCCUGUUCCAGGCCACAUUCUUGGAUGCUGUUCCUCCACUUCAGACCCCAGCAACUUUCCUUCAUUAUGACUGGAGCUCCAGCACCGAUCUUGAGCCAGGAAGCAACCUUGAUAUUGGAAGCCACUCACAAAGGAUGGUGGAGCAGAGAGGCAAAAGGAGUAUGAGUUCCUGAUACAAGCCCUGGACAGUCUAUAUUCCGAUUUCCCUUAGAAGCAAAAUGAAUCCAUAAGAUUUUAUGUUUUUUCAGUCUCUUUUUUAGGUUUCCUGAUGUAUGUAUCCAAUCUUUAUCGUGAUUAAUACAUGAAAUAUGGUAUCAACAAGUGAAAUUUUAAUAAUUAAAGAGUACAUGGCACAUGGCAGUGUACAAUUCAUUGAGUGGUACAAAUCCAGCAUGGAGAGGCAGUAUAUAGUGCCUGAGUGUUAAGACUGGGCUCUGAAAAUACAUAUAGAAAUUUAAUACAAGACAAGAGUCACCUUAAAUUAUUAAGGAAAAGGAAACUUUUUAAUAAAUGAUGUUGAAACAACUGAGUAACCAUUUGGAAAAGGAUAAAAUUGGAUCCAUAUAUCAUUUCGUGUUCCAAGAGAAAUUGCAAAUGGAUUCAGAAAUAUAAGUGUUAAAAAAUAAAGCCACAAAAUAAUAGAACAAAACACAAAUUCCUUAUAACUUAGCAGUGAGUAAAGCCUUCAUAACUAUGACUUAAAAUCCAGAAACAAUGACAACAAAGACUGACAAAUUUGAUGACACAGAAAUUUAAAACUUGUGUGUGUCAAAUAAAGAAAAAUACCCAUAAGUAAAAUUGAAAAGACAAAUGAACAGCUGGGAAAAAAUAUUUUCUAUUUACGUUCUUCCAAAGGAAUAUCUCUCCAACACAAAAAGAGCUCCUAGAAAUCAAUUUUAAAAAGCAGAAAAACAACCCAAUAGAAAAAUGGGCAAAAGUCAUAGUCCAGCAGUUCUCGUGAAAAGAAAAGCAAAUGGCCCUUAAACAUAUGAAAAUAUGCUCAUCUCACUCAAAAUAAAAGAAUGCAAAGGAAAAAUACAAUGAGAAACCAUUUCUCACCUAACAAUUAAAUUGGCAAAAAUUCAAAAGUUGAAAACACCAUGGUAGAGGUUGGGAGAAAUCAGGCACUCUCAUUCAUUGCUAGUGAAGACAAAAGGUGAUACAAUCCCAUGAAGAGGAAUGUGGCAAUAUAUAACAAAAUUACAGGUACUUUGACCCUUUGAUUCAACAAUCUCACUUUUAAGAAUAUAUAAUGUUGUAUCUGUUAUCAUCUUACACCAAAUUUCUCUAUAUUUGUUUUCACAGCCCAGACUUGACACUCAGACACUAUACACUGUCUCUCCAUGCUGUAUUGUGCCAUUCAAUGAUUUGUAUACCGCCAUGUAUCAUUUCUUCUUUUAUUAAAUUAUUUUAUAUUAUUUUGUAAUACAGCUGUACACAUAUAAAAUGAUAAAUACAUUAUCAUUUAUAGCAAUAAAAGAUUAUUAAAAACACAAAUAUUCAUCAAUAAACAUUGGUUAUACGAAACUAAGGUACAUCUUCGUAAAUGGAAACUAUGUAACUUUCCCUAGGUGAAUUAUUAAAAAAAAUUUUUUUAAUUGCUAUGAGAGAAUCCCAGGAUAUAAUAUUAAAUUGAAAAGGCAACACAGAAGACAGUCUGGUAUGAACGUAUAGUAUACUACCUUUUAGUAGGACACACACACACACACACACACACACACACACUUACAAAAAGAAACACACACACGACAGAUAAAUUAGAAGCUAAAAUUUUUAAAUGUUAUCUAUUGAAAAGUAGGAAAAGAAAAUAACAUUUUCCUGGGUAUACUUUUGUUUAAAGUUUUAAAUUUAGAACCAUACUUUAACAUUUUAAUUGUUAGAUCAUGUAAAUGUUUUAUAUAUUAAAAACUAAAAUUUAAAAGCAAAUUUAAAAUUUAAAAACAAAUAGAAAAUUUAAAAAUUAAAAGUAAUGGAAACAAAUUAACAAUGUAUCAAAUGUAUCAAAUUGGUAAAUAACCACACAUAGAAAAACAUUGUUUCAAGUAAUUUUAAAAUACAGCAAUUGUACAAACUUAGUGGGAUAUACUGUAAGGACAACAGAGAACUGCAAGAAAAUCUCAAACUUCAUUUGUCAAUUUUAUUAUUAGUGGUAAUGCUGACAUUAUUAGUCUGAAAUCAUUUUAUGUAUAAGAUAAUCAUGUUUAUGUUGUUAGAAACCAAGAUGUCCAGUAUAAAUAUCAACUCAAAUAAGUUAAUAAUUGGAAAUUGAAUCAGAAAUAUCUAUACAAAUGUAUGAGUUUUGAACUUUAAUUUGAAAAUAAUUUUAAACUUAUAGAAAAUGUGCAAUUAUGGUGCAAAGAAAAUCAUUUUACCAUUUCCUAAGAUUUACCUGUUAUUAACAUUUUGCCCCAUUUGCUUUCUCAUUUGCUCUAUCUACACACACACACACACACACGAUUUUUUUCUGAAACAGUUGAGAGUAAGCUGCAUAAAUCACAGUUGAGUGUGCAUCUCUAAGAAUAAGAAUAUCCUCUUCCAUAUAGCUGUCAACUUCAAUAAACUGAACAUUGAUCAGAAAUUAAAAACAGAAAUUAUAUUUAGUUGUUAUGUCUCUUUGGUGUCAUUUUUUCUGGAACAUUUUCUCAGUCUUCCUUUGUCUUAUAUAACACUGACAUUUUUGGAAUAAUUUUUUAAAUAAAUGAUUCCUCGUUUUGA